CUGAGGACAGAGAAAUAUUAACACCUGUGAAAAACCAUAUAGCCUGUUCUUCCUCUUUUCUGAGAUUGCACUAUCAUUCCCACGUGUUGUUAUUAUUGUUAUUGUCGUCAUCAUCUUACCCUACAGGACAGCUGACUCUGGAGCCAUAAAAAUGAUACAUAACCAGAGAAAGGUGCCGAGGCAGUUAAUGGUCACAGACCUGGACUCAAACCCUACCGAACUCGUGCAGCAAGUUGAACGGCAAUACGACCAGAAGGCUUUCUCAUUUGAAGAGGAUUCGUUUAUGUUGGGCCAAGAGGGGCUGGAAAAAAUGGCCUAAGCAUCUUUCUGUGUUUUGUACUCAGGAACCGUACAGGAGAUAUCAAGGCCUUAUAAUCAGCGCUGCAGAAGAACAAUGAGGGGGUGUAAGGCAUUCAUGGAAGAGCCUGAUCUCUGCCCAGAGUGCUGAGCAUGACCGUCUCUUCAGUGAGCACCAGCAGAGCCAUCCUUGCUGUGUCUGGUACCUGGGAAAGGCAGCCAGAGUGGUGGCUAGCAUGGUCUGCAUGGUCUACCUGAAGAGGAUUGAUAUACCUUCUGUUUUACCCUUUCAGUUCAAGACAACACACUCUGAAUCAAGCUUUAUCUGGCCUUGCUUCCAGCAAACAUCAGGCCUUAGAUGUGAGUAUUGUGUUAGGCCAAAACCUGAGCAGGAGUGGAGUGAACGGCCACAAGAUUCGUGUAAAUAUCUCAGUUUAUGUGAACUUACAUUCACCUGUCCUCAAUUCUAAAAUUCUGUUGUUUAUUCCUGCAAUUUUCUUUUUCUCUUGCUCAUUCUGCCCAUUUUUCUGUGAAUUUUCCCUGAAAAUUUCCUUUCCUUUUUAGAAUUAAUGUUAAUAAAAUGUUGCUAUUUUUUUACUAAAUACUAGGGUGAGAUUUAUGAGUUUAUGCCAAAUAGAAUGUGACACAAAUGAGAAAAGGAAUCCCAAAAGUGAUUUUUACCUAUGCUAAACCAAGAAAGAUGCACCUGCUCCCAAAAAAGAGGAGUCCUUCACUAUCCAUGUCUUGCCCGAGUUAUUUAUGAUAAUUAAGCAGGAUUCGUGUAUUGAUUUUUAUGCUAAUUCGUUCCUGUUUCAAUUCUGCUAGAGAUAAGUCUUUCUGUCAGGUGAUUGUGAUGCUUCUAGUGAAGGUACAAUAUCUAUUGGAAGCAUUUCACAGGAAGGUCACAGUGGAAGAAAUUAUUACUGAAUUACUAGUAUUAGAGAUAAGCUUCUGCUUUUCAGUUUUAGUCUUCUUGCAUAUCUAAAUCACAGUCUUCCUUAAUUAAAUGUCUUAACCUUGUUAGCCCAAGGUUUACCGUUACUGAGGAUGAACUCUUCAUGCUUUAAGCCUGUAAAUCACUUAUGGUGGCAAAACGGAGUGCAGUCCUCUGGGAUUAUUUCAAGUGGAAGAUACCGAAGUGUCACUAUUGAGCAUUAGAAGACUGAUGCAUGACUUCAGUGUCUGUUCAUCUCCUUUUAAUCCUGUCGACUACAUGUGUUAGUUAAGAGAGAGAGCUCAGGGGAAGUAGUACAGCAUGGCCUGCAUCUUUUUGGGUAACCUGCCUUUCUUCCAAAGCGGGGUGCCUUUGCCUACUCUGCCAGGAGGGAGCUGUUAUCUCGCCUGAACAUUGCUGGAACAAGUUUUACACUGAAGAAGCCAAAUCGUGUGAUGGAGCAUGUUAACAAUUAAACAGUUAAGGACCAUUGUAUGCCCCAGCACUGUUAGUUUACUAGUUAUGAAUAUAGCCAUUUUUAAAGCCACAUUUUGCCACCGAUUUUGGAGGCAAGUAUGUGAUGGACAUCAGUGGUAGCAGCUCCAUGCUCCCUGCAGAUAUUCAGCAAGAGUUAAGAGCCAUCACAGGGCACCAGGAUAAGUGGUCAUCCAUCCACACAUUGGCUUUUGCACGCAAGGGUUCCUGCGUGGGCUAUGGAUCAGACUGUUGAAGGCAGGUAAGUAUCUUGCUAAAAUCUAAAGAUUCUUGGUCAGGUUGCCCCUGUAUGAGAGGCUGAACCAUGCCACCUGCAACUCUGUAUACUUCAUAUUUCUCUUGAUGUUGUGCCUCACAGGUGGGGAAAUCUUGUCUUCCAGCUAGUAAAAAUUCCUAAAUGACAAACUGAGGUGACUAUAAGAAGCAGAAUUCACUGUCUGGUCUGUCUUUAUUGGUCACAAUUUUAGUAAGUUGAGAGUACGUUAAUGAACCAGUUCAUCUGUCAGGAAGAUACUGACUAACCAACAGUUCAGUCCUGUAAGAUACCAUUCUCCCCACCAACUUUUCACAUAAAUACUGGAGAAUGUACAAAAUCCCUUCCAAAUGGAGUGAGUUUUAGUUGCUUUCCUCCCCUGGCUUCUUACCCCUUAGAAAUUAGUGUCUCCUUAUGCACACCCCAUUGGUCGUAAUAACUGUGAACAAAACUCAGAGGACAAUUUACACAGAAGGUGAAAGUGAAUCAUGUUUUUAAUAAAGUAUCGUGUAGGAAAAAAAUCCAGAUGUCAUCUUGUAUAUAACACAGUGGGUAGAAAUGGGAAAAGGCCUACUGGGUCGGGAGGUCUCUGUUCUUCUAGUGCAGGUUUGUUCUCCAUAACACAUCUGUUAAAAAUCUUCCUUGUUCUCUCUAGUCUGGAGUCUCAAGAGGUAGGAAUCAAAGACAGCUUUUGAAAGGCUAUUUGACAACUUGAAUAUUUAAAGGUGUCAGAAAGGUAUUUCUAAUAUAGUUUCUAACUUUCUCCUGUCUUAAUAGUAUUUGGCUACAGUCCCUGCAUCACACUGAACUUUUUCUCACUGUAUUAUACAUACCCUUGAUGCACGUCUACCUCCAGAUACUCGCAGGCUCUUUCCUGUGUUUCAUCAGCUACUGCCAGAUAUGCGCAGCCAAGGUUUCUAUUUGCCACAGAAGGGACUCAGUACUCUGAGUACUCAGUCUUCCUUAACCUCAUUUAGAAAAGAUCAUUUUAAAAGGUGAAUGAGCAGGUCAAGUUUCUUUAUUCUUCCAUCUUUGCUUUCAUUACUAAAGGUGAAAUUCGGUUGCCCUAAACAUUGGCAUCUGGUGACAGUUUAGAUAUAUUAAAGCAUCCUGCCUGCCUUCCAGCCACCACUGCAGAACAGUGUGGGUCUCAUCUGUCCUAUUCACCAACUCCAUGUGGGUCAUUGUCCCCUGAGGAUGUAUCAGAGAAGAUUGGGCAACUUAAUCAUAAUAAAAAUGUCAACACUGGACAUGGACAAGUGAAUUUAGACCAUCAAGCAACAUGGUUAAAAAUUGACUCCUGAAGCAUUGUUAAGGAUAAUGACUCAAAAGUAUCCAUUUAGAGCAAUAGCUGAUAAGUAGGAAAGAGUCUGUGAGUAUGCUAACAUAGAGAUGUAAAAUUUGCUAGAAAAAAGGAAAAAAAUGAGGGAGUGCAGGCUGUCUAGUGACUACACAUACACACACAAAGUCCUACAGGCCAAAUCUGAGUCUCCUUUCAAGAGCAUAAUAGACCUUUUAGAGAUUUCUCUUAUCCAUCUGUGGAUCGACCCACUUCAUAAUUGCUAUUAAUAAUAAUUGUUAGAAUUCAUUUGGGUUCAGUGGAGCAGUGUAGUGACAAUUGAUAAUAGUAUUGAAAACGAAAUAAAAAAAUACAUGUGAAAUAAUUCUGUAAUCUUGUAGGAAAUCUUGUAAGACAACUGGGAAAGAGGAAAACAGUAUUCUGUAGCUCAAUAUUGAAUUAAAAAUAUGAAUUUUUCAAGUACAAGUAUUCAUGCUAAGUUACAUUAUUGUAUUGAUUUUACUCCUUGGAGUAAAUCUUUUAUUGUUCUACAAAUCAUACCAAAAGACUAAUUUGAUAUAAAAUAGUGCUGACAUGGAAAAAAAUAAGAAAGGAAGACCCUGCACUAGAGAAUAAUAUGAUAGGAUCAACACUUUUUUCUAUUUUUGCUGUGAAUUUGACAGCUGUGUCUUUGUAAAAGCCAAACUAAUAAGGUCAAAGGAAAAUAUCCAUAAAAAGAAAACUGCUGGUCCAGCAAUGUUUCAUGGUGCUGACACAAACCAUGAGGUAGCUCUUCAGCUUGCUUAGUGUACAUAGCAUUUUCUAUUGAUACUGAUAUUAUUUUGUUACUUUUUUUUUAAGGUAUACUGCUUACCUCACAUUUUAGCUGUGUUUUAUUCUGAUGGUACCCAACAAUAUGCUUUAUAUAUGUAGGAAAAUUUCUAAAUCUAUUUUUUCUCUUCCAAACCAUUGUUUUUUGACUAAACUUUCCACUGCAGUAACUACUUUUUUUUUCUAAAACACUUGACAUAGUAAGACCUAUCUAGCCACUGAGAAUCCACAGCAUCAAUCUACCAAUAAGAAUAAUAAAAAUAUUAUUUAUUAUUUGUUUCAGGACCUCUUAGUGUGUCCCUACAAACAUGAAAGGUAACAAAUUCCCUGUACUGAACAAGUUCACAGUAGUGCUAUUCAACUGAUUUCUGGCAACAGCAACUUUACAAUAAAAUGGGAUUGUAACUUAGGAACAUGGGAAGUAAAAUAACCAUGAAAAUAGUCUUGUACAAUAUUUUAAUGUAAAAAAAUCAUUAAAUUAAAAAGCAUCCUCUGCUUUCUUAAGGACGUGAACUUUGUUCUGUUUCUUUUUUCUCAAAACAUAAAAUAAAACAUCCUCUUGAAUUUCUGUGAUAAUAUACUGAGAAGCUCAUGCAAAACCUAUUAAAAAUGUUUUUCAUGAUGCUAUUGAAUAACUAAACAGUCCUGAUCUUGAGAUAGGCACACACGUUACCAAAUAAAAAUAAAGGUUUGCUUCCAGUGUUUUAGUUUGAGGAAAUGGGAAAUAUUUAGCAGAAUGUCUAUAAAGCAUCACCAAAGAGUGUACAGUAAUUCUAUACUGUUCCUUGAAAAACAAACUCACUGCCAGUUAAAAAAAAAUCAGUAGGAUUCACUUGAUCACAUUGAAGCUGCUGGUCUCAAGGACAUGACUUUUCAGACACUUGCGGACAGCUUCAUUAGAAAAUGAACAAGCAGCCAAUUAGGGUGUCUGGUGUCCAAAGAGCGAUGCCUGUUAACACUGACAGCUUAAAUGGAUACAGGGGUAAUUGCGAACUGUGUUUCUUUUUUCAUCGGGGGUAUUAACUGGUAAUGCUGGCAGAGCGAAAACAGAGCUGUGGUUGAAGCAAAGCCUUUUAGCAUCCAGGUUUUACUUACAGAUCACAUUUAUCUCACUGGGAUGUGUUGGUAACUUUGAGCAUGAGUUACGGAGCUCUUUUCUGAAAGUACAAAAGGGGGCUUUGUGAAGCUUGUCAAUACUUCUCUCUCUCAUGGUCAUACAGAAAAGAUUAAGGGGACUACUGAAACUAUUGCAAAAAUUACUUGGUAAAAAAAUAGUUGCAUUUUUUUAUUUUCUCAGGCCUCCUUUUUUUGUUGUCUGAAAGACAAGAUCAAUUUAUUUUAAUGGAAUAUUUCAGGAAUGAUAAUAAUAAAAUUCUCUUAAACUUCAGGGAAAAGGAUCAUGAUAAUUGGCUUAUCUGGAUAGCUAAGGAAGUAUUUCAAAAGGUGAUCUUUUCUAAUUAGUCACAUGUUCCAUUCUUAUAUUUAUUUGAGUGGAGGUCUUUUAUGACUCCAGUCUGUAGAUCUGCGGAAGCUUGAAUUCUGCUGGAGUAAGUUUUAGUCUAAAAUUUUAGAAUCAUAGAAUCAUAGAAUAGUUUAGGUUGGAACAUACCUUUAAGAUCAUCGGUUCAACCGUUAAACUAGCACUGCCAAGUCCACCACUAAACCGUGUCCCUGUGCACCACAUCUACACGUCUUUUAAACACCUCCAGGGAUGGUGACUCAACCACUUCCCUGGGCAGCCUGUCCCAAUGCUGCCAACCCUUUUGGUGAAGAAUUUUUUCCUAAUAUCCAAUUUAAGGAGGUCUAGUGCACAUAAUAAAUGGCUGGAUAAUCAGAAUCAGAGAUGUGUCAUUCCACAACCCUCCAUAGGAACCUGCUUCUGCGUUAUUAAAAUGUGCGAUUUACCUACAGGCUUUCUAGAUUAAUGUUUGAGAUCCUUAUUGAGCACACAAGAAUUAGAAUCUAAGAAAUGAGUACUCUUUUUUUUAAAUUAAAAUCCUCCAAAUAAAUAUAAUAUAAUAUCAAUUCCAAAUAAUAUUUUUCUAAUAGUUUAAUUAAAUAAAAUAAAACUCAGGUUUUUUCACUUUGCAGCCCAUGACUUCCUCAGGGAAGCAUCAUCUUUAUAACAACUGAAAACAACAGUUUUGCUUAAACAUGUCUGUCAUUCUGCAUCUCAAAGACAAGGCCUUAUUAUCUCCAAGCCUGUAAUCACCUCAAAUUUUCUGGUUACCAUCAUGUCUAAGCUCAGUAAAAAUCUGGUAGCAUGUUACUUUAAAGCUUUCUUUUAGUAAUAGACUCUUGCCUCUGCAGGCAAGAAAUUCUGUUUAUUUUAAAAUGGGCUAAGAAUCUGCUUAGGGUUUAGCCAAACACCUGUACAUUGUCCUUUUCUUAAACCAAAGGUCAGAUUUCCCCCGAUGAUAUUUAGACUGAGAAGGGGCAAAAAAAAAAAAAAAGAGAAGAGUUGACUCGAAGAACCUCAUGGUCCUAACAUUCAUUCUCCAUAAAAUGCACCCUUGAAAGGCUGGAUAUGCUUUGGGACCAACUCUUUACCUAUAUAACAUGAAUGCCUGGAGUUUUCAGCUGGAGACAGAGGGAAGAGGGAGAUCUCUGGAUCCAGUGCUGCUAUAUGUAGUCUGGUCUUCUUUUGUCUCAUACACCUGCCUUUGUAUGUCUUUGUGACUUUGCAUUUAUGAAACUGAAAAUAUACCAAUAUACGUUGCUUCUGCCUCAGAGUCUUGUGCAUCAACAGUGAUUCUUGGUAGCAGAGGAAGAUGAUUCCUGUCUUUAAAGCGCUUCACCUCACUGGUUGUUGCAACCUUUAAACUCUGUGUUUAGGAAGGCUUGCUGCAUUUGACUCAAGAAUCUCAGCUUGCAUCCCUGAUUUGUUGCAUGGGCUACUUUGUCUGGAGUUGACAAGGAAAGGGUCUCCUAGUGAUUGCUGUAAACCAGGUGGACUCACUGCCAGCAGCAAGGAGUUUACUGAGACGGGACUUCAGUGAAUGCAGAUACCUUAUGUACCUGAUUUUAGUACGUGUGCACCAUUUACCAUACUUGUAUCUUGAAUAUGUUUAUUAUAUAAAUAAAUAUAUAUGUUAUAUAUUUAAAGUAAAUCUGUAUAGUAUUUUCAAAAAGCUUUUUAGAUAUAGGUUUCUUUUCCGCAAUGUUAAUUUUUUUCCCAUACAAUUUUACGCCUCUUUCUGAUGACUGUUUUCUGUUCAGCUGGUACAACAUACCCCUUGUUCCAGAAACAUAACAAAGACUUAAUAUUGAUAGUCACAUUUUUAUUGUUAGUACACAAGUUUUAUAGCCUUUGGCCAAAUUAUCCCCUUGCUUACGCUGAAGACAAACUUUGGUCUUUAAAUCUGUAUGAACUAGAUAUGAAAACCCAUAUUUGGCCGUUAGUGAUUUUUUUUUCUAAUAGCAGAGUAGUAGCUCAUUUUCUCCCCAGCAUGUUUGUGGGAGUUAUUGUGGCCAUUAGCAUGGAUCAGAAAAGCAUACAGUGAUAUUCAAUAAAACAACACAGAAGGUGUAUUUCCAAAUUUGUCUUCCAGACUCCUGAGAAGGCUGUGCCCCAGCCACUCCCAUUAUAUAAUUCAGUGAAAAAACAUGGCACUGGUACCUGUAGCUUUUGGGAGAUGAGUAACAGAUGGUCUGAGAAGUACUCUGAAGAAGGGGGUGUAUGCAACUGGACACAGAAAAUUUUUAAGGAAUUUUUCAAGACCACAACAUAUUGCUUAUUUAAACGAUAAUGUGCAAAAAAAGCAGUAAAUGAACAUAACUGAAUAGCUUUAGUGCAAUGUCUCUGAUGCACCUGGGGAGACUUGCUCAAAGCAGAAUUGGAAUUGUAUCCUGGUUUAGCUGCACGUUAGUGAAAAGAGCCAUUUUGAGGCUUUAUUAUGGCAAGCGGACAGUGCAUUCUAAAAUAUGCUUUUCAGCCACUUUAAAUUUGAUCUGAUAAUUAUCUUUGAUUUGAGGUGUCUCAUCAUUAGGCCCAUCCUGUAAAUCAAUUUGUGACUUUGAAAAGGCACCAUUUAUGAUUAAUUAUAUUUAUGAUUCUGUCAAUGUAUUUUUCAAUACAUUUUCAGCUUUUCAAUAUCUUUUUCAUCUCUGAAAUCAUUCUGAACUCUUACACAACUAAUGCUUUCACUUGUAUGUACAUAAUUCAGAUUGGUACUAGGUUCUCUGCCAUGACCAAAAUGCUUGGCUGAAAGAUUAUAUUCUUAAAAUAGAGAUAGAUAUAACAUCCACAUACAAUGUAAUGGUUUCUUUAAACUUAGUGACGACGCAAGGUGAGAAAUGCAGAAAAAUACGGUAUGUAAAUAGUAAAUGUCUGUAUUGUUAUUAGAACUGGAAAAGCUUCUACAUGUCAGGAGUGAAAUUGUGGCCUCUGAAGUGUCUGGAGUUUCUGCCUCCAGUUUCAAGUGAUCAGCUAUUCAUGUCAGAAGUAAGGAGCUAAUGGAUUAAAAACAUCACAAGUUCUUAAUGGAGUCACUUCCAAAGCUGCUUUUGACAAUCCUGCUCUUCUUCACAAUGACAGUUGCAUAACAGCUAUGCACUCAAGAACAUUUUUUUCAUAAAACAAUAACCAUUCUGAACUCCUUAACUUGCCAUGCGUUCAUUAAAAAGAAUAAACUGCUUACAGUA